UAUCUCACCCUCUCUGGCUGU
rnacentral:miRNA from 1 species